ACGGGGUAGCAAAUUUGGGAAAGGGAACGUUGGGGUUUAGGUUUUCGCCAUUGAUUGCAGAAGAUGUCUCAGGUGGCGGCUUAGGAGGGUCUGAUAGGGUUUUUUGGGGGAGAAGGAUGAUAGUCGUAUGGCUGUGGGUAUGAGAAGUAAUGGAGCUAAGGUUAAUACUAAAGGGGUUUUGGGUAGAGUUAGUACUAAAGGGGUUUUGGGUCAUGUUGCUGAAGUGGACUGUGAGGCUGAGGCAGGCUUUAGGCCUUCGGUUGGACUUAUCUUGGGCUCAAGUUCUAGUGGACUAGGAAAUAUUGAGACGAGCCAAAUUGAGGGGGUAUUAGUUUUAAAAUGUUGGGGAAAAAGCCUAUAGGGUCAGAUGGGUUUCCCCAAAAGGAUAAAGACCUGAUAAAUAAAUUUUCCAUUUCUAAAUCUAUUUCUCUCCUUCCGUCUGCAGGUUUAGUGCAAAUAAAGAUGGGUUAUGGACGGAUAAGUGGGCCGUCAAAUGAGAAGCUUGGUGGGCCAAGAGAGGAAAGGCCUGGGUAGGCUGGUCAUUUAGCGUCUAAUGGGUUAACUCCUAGUGGACUGGACAACACGUUUGUGAAUGGACAAAAUAUUAUUUUGGAUAAACAAUACUUUGGUGGGAUGUCUUCUAAUGAUUUAUCAGAAAAGGAAUUUGUGGAAGUGCAAUUGGUUUCUUUAGGAAAUGAGGGAAAUAAAUUGAUUCUCAAUAAUCCCAUGUUCGAAAGCCCUAGUAAAACUGUGGUUAAAUUAUAUACGAAUCUUUUAGACCCAAAUCACCAUUCGGCUGUUAUUAUUAAUGAAAAUAAUUUUCAAAAUCGCUCAAAGGUAAUAAGAAAAAUAUUUUGGUUAAUACUAAUAAAUCUUUUCCUAUUUUCAGAGGGCAUGGUUCUGAGAAUAAAGUUGGCAAUAAUCGUGGUAGAGCUUCUCUUAAUCGAACGUUCAAAGAAAAAUGAGGAAGAUUAAAAAACGUUGGAAUUUCUCGAAUUCCUUUGACAGAAGCUAUAAGCUCCAUGGCUAAUCUCAUCAAUUCGCAAGUUGGGCUUGGAGCUGAUGAAACUGGUGGCAGUGCUAAUGGACAGAUUGGUGGCCUUGGUUCCACAUCUGCAUAAUAUGGGUAUUUAUACGAUGAAAUCAACAAGCAGUAAACCUAAUGGGUGGAGUCAAUUGGGCUUGUCUAUUCAGGAUCAUCAUUUGGCGCAUGUAGAAGAAUCGAAACCUUUGCAUAUUUCAAGGUUUUUCGUAGAGUACUGAUGAGGUUAUCAAAGCCUCUCUAAGUUGGGCAAAGCAGUAUGUUUCAGUUUCUGGUUUGCAAGGCAUUAAAAUUUCAAGAUCGAAUUUCGUCCCUGUUUCUUUGGAUGGUUGGGUCUAUUUGAACACAAAUGGUUCUAUUAAAUAUGUUGAUAUGUUUGCCGCAGUUGGAGGGCUUCUGCAAGACCAUUAUGGAACUUGGAUUGUUGGCUUUACAAUGUAUUUGGGUAAUUGCGAAGUUAUUGAUUCGAAAUUAUGGGGCAUUCUUGAUAGGUUGCAAAUUGCUUUUAAUCGCGGCUUUCAAAAUGUCAUCAUUCGAAUAGACAAUCUUGAAGCUGUUAACCUCAUUCAUGAAGGAGUUCGUGAAGGUUCUAAUUCUGUUUUAGUUAUGAGAAUACUUUUGCUUUUGAAGCUUUUGAGCCACUAGAAUCUUCAACAUAUUCCCAGAGAAGAGAAUAGUAUUGCAGACAGGAUAGUCAAACUUAGGAGAGAUAGGGAACCAGGGUUGCGGUUGGUUGAUAAGAAUUAUGUGAUAAGUUUUCUUAAUGUUUGAUAAUUGGGUUGUAAUUUUUUUUUCACCAAAAAAAAAAGAGAGUAGAGAAAUUGAUUGAUUUCAAGUCAACCAAAAAAACAUUUAAUAGAAUAUUUUAUUUAAUGGUCAAAGUCUA